CUUGUCAAGCAUACAUUCCCAAGGGCAGCUGAGGAGGAGGGCACUGCCUAUGUGGAGCCUUUUGAAGUUCUCCGCCCUCUUUCUCAGUCUUACCUGCCUGGCUUUUUGGUAGCAUUUGACAUGUUUUAUCAACAUCUCAGAGAAGCAAUACCAGGUGGAAGGAAGCCUUAAACCUCAGAACCUCAGAAUGUGUCUAUAUUGGAAAGUCUUUAAAGAAGUGAUUAAAAUGACUGGCAUCCUUGAAGAGGAAAUUUGAGCACACAGUAGGGAUACGUAUGUACACGAGGACACAGUGACAAGAUGGGCAUUGGCAAGCCAAGGAGAGAGGACUCAGAAGAAAACAAAA